GCGGGUAUAGCUCAGUGGUACAGCCCAUGCCUAGCAUGCACGAGGUCCUGGGUUCACUCCCUAGUACUUCCG
rnacentral:tRNA from 1 species